UACGUAGGGGGCUAGCGUUGUCCGGAAUCAUUGGGCGUAAAGCGCGUGUAGGCGGCCCGGUAAGUCCGCUGUGAAAGUCGGGGGCUCAACCCUCGGAAGCCGGUGGAUACUGUCGGGCUCGAGUACGGAAGAGGCGAGUGGAAUUCCUGGUGUAGCGGUGAAAUGCGUAGAUACUGGGAGGAACACCGGUGGCGAAGGCGGCUACCUGGACCGGUUCUGACGCUGAUGCGCGAAAGCGUGGGUAGCAAACAGG
rnacentral:rRNA from 1 species